CUUGCGACGCAGGCGCAGAGGCUGGGCGUGCAGCCGCCGCCGCAGAGCCGGAGCGGGGGCCGCCGGCGCCGCAUCCCUCUCUACCUGCCAACAUCCUGUAUUAGAGAACUUGUGGCCGGAGGUGUGGCUGUGGAGAGCUGGCCGGGGAGGGACGCUGCUCAGCUGCUGCUCUGCUCCUGUCUCCUGUCCCCUCCCCCGGUCAUGACAGAGACCCGUGAGCCAGCUGAGACUGGGGGCUACGCCAGCUUGGAAGAAGAUGAUGAAGACCUUUCCCCAGGUAAGGUGGCCUUAGAGGUGGUGGCGUCGGCUUGACUGUCAUCCUGGCUUAGGGUUUGGCCCCCACUGGGAAAUGUUGAUGGGGAGUGGCUGCUUGUCUUGCUAGGGGUUCUAUUCUGACUGAGACUGCUUGUCCUAGUAGGGGAUCUCUUCCAGUCGGGACUUCUGGGGACUGUAGAUUGACUGGGGUCGCUCUCCUUGCUAGAGGUUCUAGAUUGGCUAUGAUUUCCUUCUUUGCUGGGGGUUCUAGAUCGGCUAUGAGCUUUCUCCUUGCUGGAGGCUCUAGGUCGACU
rnacentral:lncRNA from 10 species